UACGUAGGUGGCAAGCGUUGUCCGGAAUUAUUGGGCGUAAAGCGCGCGCAGGUGGUUUCUUAAGUCUGAUGUGAAAGCCCACGGCUCAACCGUGGAGGGUCAUUGGAAACUGGGGAACUUGAGUGCAGGAGAGAAGAGUGGAAUUCCACGUGUAGCGGUGAAAUGCGUAGAGAUGUGGAGGAACACCGGUGGCGAAGGCGGCAUCCUGGACCAACACUGACACUGAGGAGCGAAAGCCAGGGAGCAAACGGG
rnacentral:rRNA from 1 species